ACCAUUCAGUAGUCUGUGAUGGCUUUUAAAAUUGAAUAGACCAACAAAAGAUGAAAUAGAUGUACUGAAAAAAAAGCUUUAUUAACAUAACAGACAAUUGCAAAUCUGCCAAUCAUUUCUAUUCUCAAAUGUAUCCUUUCAAUCUAAUACACUUCAUAUCUCCCUGAAGAGAAUAGUGAAAAAACGACAAACCACAUCAGAUGCCUGAGUAAAAUAUAUUUUAAAAAAAAACAGUAAUACACUUCAAAACAGAGGAAGGAGAUACCAUGGAUGAUUGUGACGCUUCUGUAUCAAUACCUAAAGGUCUUUACAUGAUUCCUGCAUUGGAGCUCUGACAUAAUGUGUGUUCCACCUAUGCAUAUUUUAACUAUGAUAGCACAGACUUUAAAUGAAGACAAAAUAUAGGGCAUGGGGGAGCUGCCUGGCAAAUACACAUAGAAAUACAGAGCUCAUGCUUAAUGGCAUAAUGGCAGUAUUUGUGUGAGAAUAGGUGUCUUUAGCAUACAAAAAUAGAGCAUCAAAUAAACAACAUCAGCAAAGGGGCACCUUUUUCCAGUAUAAACUGAUCAUCUAACUUGCAUCCUACUGUAGGUAUCAUUGAUGUACUUUCAUGUAGUCUACCUAAACUACACAGAUCUGUUGUCUACUGUGAGUAACCCAUUCAAAUAUCUUCCCAUGCCUCAGACAAGACUUGCUGACCAACAGUAAUAUAGUAAUUUAUAUAUUAAAAAAUUGUCACUAAAAGUCACUUGCUCUCGGCCUGUAUAUAUUGUGGAGGGAGCCGCUGUUGGCCCAGGUGUGGAGACCAGACUAACGGCCCAGGUGUGGAGACCAGACUAACGGCCAAAGGUUCAAUGUAUGACUGUCUUAUCCGGUGCCCAGGUGAGACUGCUUGGAUGGUUGAAACUAUCUCUUGACCAAUCUAACUCCAGUUAUUUAUUCACCACCCCUGUUUCAGUCGUGGCUAGAUAUUAACGGAGUGAUAGUUAAUAAUGUUAUUUCUCUUUUAGAAUUUACUACAAGGAUUUACUGUAUCUGAGUUCACAAAGGAGCCACUUACAGGCAUUCAAACAAUUCACGCAUUGCAAAUUCAAAGAUGUUUUCUAACAUGAUUACGCAAUGAUUAAGCUAAGCCAGCAAAAUGAUAUCAACCCCCAAUGUACUGACGCCCUCUACUCACUAAAUAGAUUUCACCCCUAAAAUGUGGCCAGGUGUGACCCCAGAAUGACCUGUGCCCAGGAGAAGGAAGAGGGGCAUGACCCCUGAAUGACCUGUGCCCAGGAGAAGGGAGAGGGGCAUGACCCCAGAAUGACCUGUGCCCAGGAGAAGGGAGUGGGGCAUGACCCCAGAAUGACCUGUGCCCAGGAGAAGGGAGUGGGGCAUGACCCCUGAAUGACCUGUGCCCAUGAGAAGGGAGAGGGGCAUGACCCCAGAAUGACCUGUGCCCAGGAGAAGGGAGAGGGGCAUGGGAGAGUGAGGGGGGUCAGGAGGCAAGCAAUGCCCAUCAGCUCACACAAACGUCACCAGACAGAGGUGCAUUAGAAAAUAAAUAAAUAAAUAUUCUUGACUGUUACAAUAAAUGGCGGGACUCAUUUUACGCCUCAAAUGUAAACACACUCCAGUCAUACAUAAUGAUAAAAAAAAACGUAAGUAUAAAAGUAUAAAACAAAUAUCUCUUCUCACAAAGUAUGUAUAAAACUAAAUACCUCUUCUCAUAAAAGAGGAAAAGAGGACAUUCACUUGGCCAACUGCUGUCUCACUCACACAGCACACUUGCAAUACUAAAACUUUUACAAAUAUGUUAUGGUUUUCAAUGUUACUAUUAUUAUGCUAUCGUUAUACAUCAAUUAUGAAGGUAUUGAAUGAAAUGUGGACUCUAGACUCCAACUUUACAUGUCUGCAUCUGCAUGUAUAUGGUGGUUACUCACUGACAGAAAGAAGCAUAAGGCACCUCUACUGUUCAAUAAGAGUCUCUCACAUAAUAUACAGCAUACACGUCCACAGAUGUCAUACUGCUUCUCAAAAUGGCUUUGUCAGGUUCCUCCUCUUCAGCUCAUUCCUGCUCAGAGGCGCACAUCCAGAAAAGUGGGCUCUGCAACAAGAAGCCAUAACAAACUUUAUGAAACAAUGUUUUUUUCUUCAUGGUCAUUAUAUCCUACAUACAAUUUACCAAAGAUGAACUGGGACAUUGAAGCUGAAUCACUUGAUACAACAUAUGAAAUAUCAUUACCACUCCCUUGGGAGACGGAUUACUUCCUCUGUCCAUUGUUUGGUACAGUGUUUUCAAAUAUGUACUGGCAUUUCUUUUCUGCAGCUCAGGGUGUCUUUUUCAGUAGAAAAUAUACCAUAUGUAUCCAAAAAAGGAGAAGGUAGCAUUGGAGACACGUAUGAUGUUCGACUCAGAGCACAGUGAACUAUAUGACAUGACGGCUAAACUGUAUCACCAAUAUUAAUUUGGUGUUUGUAGUUAAUGUAGUUCCUUUAUAAUCACAGAUUAUAAAGGAAAGAGCCAUCAAGCAGAGGUCUCUGUUUCUCUUGCAGAAGAGCUGAACACCUUUUAUGCUCGAUUUGAGUCUCACACCAGGUCAGAGGUACUGCUGGAGCAAGACAUCUGCCCUCUUCAGGUAUCUGUGACUGAUGUGUGCAAGUCAUUCAGGAGAGUGAAUGUGCAUAAAGCUCCAGGACCUGACAACAUCCCUGGCCGUGUUCUCAAGGCCUGUGCUCCUGAACUGGCAGAGGUGUUCGCUGACAUCUUUAACCUCUCCCUGUCCCAGUCUGUCGUCCCCAAUAGCUUCAAGAGGGCCACCAUCAUCCCAGUCCCAAAGAAACCAUCAGUGAGCUGUCUCAAUGAUUACCGCCCUGUCGCACUCACCUCUGUUGUGAUGAAAUGCUUUGAGAGGUUAGUCAAAGACCACAUUACAUCCUGCCUGUCACCUGCAUUAGACCCACUCCAGUUUGCAUAUAGGCCGAACAGGUCUACAGAUGAUGCUGUAGCUUUGGCCUUGAACACUGCUCUCUCUCACCUGGAUCAGGACAACACGUACCUGCGGAUGCUCUUCAUCGACUUCAGCUCCGCCUUCAACACCAUAGUACCAUCCAGGCUCAUCAUGAAACUACAGGACCUGAACAUCAGUCCCUCCAUGUGCAGCUGGAUAUUGAACUUCCUGACAGACAGGCCACAGGCAGUACGGCUAGGUAACAUCACCUCAACUAGUCUAACACUCAGCACUGGUGCCCCAUAGGGUUGUGUGUUAAGCCCACUGUUGUACUCCCUGUUCACCUAUGAUUAUGCAGCCACUAACAGCUCCAACACCAUCAUUAAGUUUGCUGAUGACACCACCAUUAUCGGCUGCAUCAAGAAUGGUGAUGAGUCUGCCUACAGAGCAGAGGUGGCAACAAUGACAUCCUGGUGUCAGGAUAACAGCCUGCUGCUUAAUGUAGCAAAAACCAAGGAGUUGAUAGUGGACUACAAGCGGCUGCAGGGAGAACAUGCACCCAUUCACAUCGGGGGCACAGCUGUGGAGAGAGUCAAAAGUUUCAGAUUUCUUGGUAUCAACAUCAGCGAGGAUCUGAGCUGGACACACCAUAUUGGUGUGGUUACAAGGACAGCGAAACAGAGGCUUUUUUUUCUGCGGCGACUGUGGAAAUUUGGCAUGGACUG
ensembl:lncRNA